UGAUGUCAAUGUUCUCAGUUUACUAAAUUAUCAAUGUGGAAGAACGCAUUUUUGAGCUCCAGACCUUCUAAACAUUUUAAACAGGCUAUCGAAGAGGAUGUAACAGAACCCUAUUUCAGAAACCUAAGGAUCAGGGAGGAAGGAACACUGACCGGUUUUUCUGGGAUGUUUCUGUGGGGGCAACAGGGAUGAACAAAAGAAAUGUUAGCAUGUCAGAGCAUAUGACAAGUGAGGGGAGACAGAGUAGAUUCUAACCAAAGGAAGGCGGUGAGGGUUAAAUGAAGGUAAUUCAGUUAGUUUUUAGGUUGGCUGGGGCAAGCUGCAUACUGUGAACAGAUUAAGCUACUCUUUAUUCAA
rnacentral:lncRNA from 1 species